GAGAAUCUCCACUUUCCUGUUCUUAAAAUGAAGUUUCCAGCCCUGUUGGUUGCAAAGAAAAGCUAGAAAAAGUGACCCCUAGAGAGUCAAAAAUCAGAAGAAUUCAAAUUGGAUUUGUUUUUUUAAUCUUUGGCUUUAAACAAAAAAAUCACAUCUCAUGUUUGGUUUUGGUUUUUUACGGGGAGAGGGGCUCACCUGGUUCUUGAAUGCUUGGAAUCAGCAAUACUGUGAGAACAAGUAACCAGAGAGUGAACGUUGGAAAUUUAAAGCCUUGCUCCUUCAAACACUUGCACCCACAAGCAGCCCCAUUGUGCCCCCUCUGUCCUGUGGCAGACCCAACCUGGAGCGGCUACAAUUUGGUUCCUGGUUAUUGUUUUGUUGCCAAAAGCCUUGCUUAUCUUCCCACGAUGGGCGUAUCUGAUAUUGAACCUGUCACAAAGGGCACUGUUUGCUGGAGUGCUGAAAUGCACCUCUGCUUAUCAAGCUUUCCUCAUCCCCAGGAAUAUUUCACAAUCCCCAGUGGUGGGGGGGGGGAAGGGGGCCUAUAAAUCCAGGGACACUUUGUCUUCACCUGUCAGCGAACAUCAGCUUCAAUUUUCUGCUUCUUCUCUGGUGUGACUCCAAGAUCCCAAGCUGACAUUCACCCAUGAGGAUCCUUUACCUGUUCUUUGCUGUUGUCAUCUUCUUCCUCCAGGCUGCUCCAGCAAGAGGCAGCACUUACGACACCUUGCAGUGCCUGAGCAACCAUGGCCACUGCCGACGGCUUUGCUUCCACCUGGAACGUCAGGUUGGCACCUGCACCAAUGGUCACAUGCGCUGCUGCAAGUGAGAGACAAGGCUGGGAUGAAGGAUUCUCUGGAUCCAAAAGCUGAAGGAAACCGAAGACUUUCCAAUAACAGCACAGCAAACAC